GCUGUUUUGUACGGAAAACGUGGAAUCUAAAUAAUAUACCGUUUCCCUGCUCUGCUGCUAUUGGCAAUACAAUUUGUCAUGUCAUCUGCAACAGACGAUCAUACAUAUAUGGCGGACUAUCGAUAUAGAUACAGCCAGGUAGCAAUAGCAGUGGAAGCACGGAUUUGCAAGCCAAAAUGAGGGAAAGACAGAAUUCUGAAAAGGAGCAUGUUUUUCAUUUCCAUACAUGCAUGUGUAUCACUAUGGACAUCUAAUGUUUUUGUGGGAUUUUGUCCAGCAGUUUGCCUUAAAAGAAUUUUUUUAUAUUUUAGUUUCAUAUUUAUGUGGAUUCAAAUAAAAAUCAUACAAACUUCAUUCAUGAUUUUUUUUGUUUUUCAUUUCUAAACUUAAUAACAUUUCACUUUCAUAGAAAUUUUGAAACAGAAAUGUUUAAAAAUUUGAUAAAUAAGGGUUUUCUGGAACCAGACUGAUAUUUUAAAAAUUCUCUAGAAAAUAGUGUAUUGUAUUUUGAGGUCUAUUAUUGUUGAAUACUGUGCCUAGUAUUGGUAACAAAUGCAUGCAACAAAAAUCUCUUACACUUAUUUGGUGUAGAGAUCCACCUUAACAUUUGAUUUGUCACACAACGAGAGAGAACUCUGGCGCUUGUUCAAUAUAUUUAUUUAACACAACAGCUAAUUAAUAUAUUUUUUGAACCGAAUAUCUUGAUUCAUGAUUAAUUGUAUAUUAUAGCGUCAACACCAAAAUUGCAUGAUGUAAGCUCACAAACUUCGUACCAAGGUUAUAAAAGUCCUACAUUCUCCGUAUUUAAACGAUUCGGAAAUUUAUUAUAGCUGGAAUUUUUCAUUAGAUAAAUCGCAAAUUCAUUAAAUUGGAACUAAAUUCAUCAAAAAUGCUGCAUGUUUGAAAACCAUGGAUAUAUUGCUCUGCAAAUUGGCUUCGUCAAGGGUCUGUGGUCUAUACUUUCACAAGUACUGUUAUUGGGAUUAAGUCUGUUUUGAUGAAAUCCAAAUUUGGAUAGUAUAUGUCGUAAUGUGUGUACACACACGUUUAAAGAAUAAAGAAAGAUCUUAAAUCAAGGGAAUAAUGCUGGGUUUCCAAAUUGGAUUUUCAUUUUAUUGAAUACAGAUUUCACUGAACAAUCAUGUUUUCUUUUUAUAUGAAAACUAUAAUUAUCGCACAUAGAAAAAAAACCCGUGCCGUUUCAAGACACAAAAAACAAACUUUAGUUUAAAAAUUUGGCCAGUGUAGAUUAUAUAUUUAUUUGUUAUUCCCCCUUAUUAGUUGUUAUUGAAAGUUUAAAUUUUACUAUGACGUAAAUAUGUAAUAAAUGCUUUGUAAAUAAUGAUUUUUUCCCUGAAGUCCUUUUAACCUGCUGUCUUUAACAAUAUGAAUCCAAACGGCGUCGAAACGGAAUUUUCGAAAAAAAGUCAGAUAUUUUUUUUUUUUUAUAAAACAUUCAUUUUGACUUUUAUCGCUUUUUAUUCUAGCUGUUUUAAAUGGUUCAUUAGAGAGUGGUAUAUUAAGAGUUACAUUGUUUUUUUAACAUUUUAAACAUUAAUAUCCCUCAUACUAGUCAUCUAUAAAUUGUACAUAUUUUUAUGAAAUGUUUAACAAGUUCUGCAAAAUCUUUGAAUUCCAUAAAAAGAAAGAAAAUUUUAG